rnacentral:rRNA from 1 species
AUAAUCAAAGGAGCAAUCCGCUUUGAGAUGGACCCGCGGCGCAUUAGCUAGUUGGUGAGGUAACGGCUCACCAAGGCAACGAUGCGUAGCCGACCUGAGAGGGUGAUCGGCCACAUUGGAACUGAGACACGGUCCAGACUCCUACGGGAGGCAGCAGUGGGGAAUAUUGCGCAAUGGGGGAAACCCUGACGCAGCAACGCCGCGUGAGUGAUGAAGGUUUUCGGAUCGUAAAACUCUGUCUUUAGGGACGAUAAUGACGGUACCUAAGGAGGAAGCCACGGCUAACUACGUGCCAGCAGCCGCGGUAAUACGUAGGUGGCAAGCGUUGUCCGGAUUUACUGGGCGUAAAGAGUAUGUAGGUGGGUGCUUAAGUCAGAUGUGAAAUUCCCGGGCUCAACCUGGGAGCUGCAUUUGAAACUGGGCAUCUAGAGUGCAGGAGAGGAAAGUGGAAUUCCUAGUGUAGCGGUGAAAUGCGUAGAGAUUAGGAAGAACACCAGUGGCGAAGGCGACUUUCUGGACUGUAACUGACACUGAGAUACGAAAGCGUG